rnacentral:rRNA from 1 species
UACGUAGGCAGCGAGCGUUGUUCGGAGUUACUGGGCGUAAAGGGUGUGUAGGCGGUUCUCUAAGUUUGGUGUGAAAUCUCCCGGCUCAACCGGGAGGGUGCGCCGAAAACUGGAGGCUAGAGUGCGGGAAGGGAGAGUGAGAAUUCCGUGGUGGUAGCGGUGAAAUGCGCAGAUAUCAGGAGGAACACCCGUAGCGAAGGCGGCACUCUGGGCCGAUACUGACACUGAGGAGCGAAAGCGUGGGGAGCAAACAGG